CCUACGGGCGGCAGCAGUGGGGAAUAUUGGACAAUGGGCGAAAGCCUGAUCCAGCCAUGCCGCGUGUGUGAAGAAGGCCUUCGGGUUGUAAAGCACUUUCAGUGGGGAAGAAAGCCUUGGGGCUAAUACCCUCGAGGAAGGACAUCACCCACAGAAGAAGCACCGGCUAACUCCGUGCCAGCAGCCGCGGUAAUACGGAGGGUGCGAGCGUUAAUCGGAAUUACUGGGCGUAAAGCGCGCGUAGGCGGUCUGAUAAGCCGGUUGUGAAAGCCCCGGGCUCAACCUGGGAACGGCAUCCGGAACUGUCAGGCUAGAGUGAAGGAGAGGAAGGUAGAAUUCCCGGUGUAGCGGUGAAAUGCGUAGAGAUCGGGAGGAAUACCAGUGGCGAAGGCGGCCUCCUGGACUGACACUGACGCUGAGGUGCGAAAGCGUGGGUAGCAAACAGGAUUAGAUACCCGUGUAGUC
rnacentral:rRNA from 1 species